AAGUCGUAACAAGGUUUCCGUAGGUGAACCUGCGGAAGGAUCAUUAUCGAGUUUUGAAACGGGUUGUCGCUGGCCUUUUACAAGGCAUUGUGCACGCCUGGCUCAUCCACUCUUCAACCACUGUGCACUCUUUGUAGGAAAAAAAAAUGGGUUUGAAGCUGGCGCAAGUCAGUAGAUGCCUCUUUUCUUUCCUAUGUUUUUAUUACAAACGCUUCAGUUAUAGAAUGUUUACUUGCAGAUAAUGCAUUUAUAUACAACUUUCAGCAACGGAUCUCUUGGCUCUC
rnacentral:misc_RNA from 1 species